rnacentral:rRNA from 1 species
CUCUACCACCAUAUCACUCUGAAUGCUCCUGAUCUCGUCUGAUCUCGAAUGCUAAGCAGGAUCAGGCCUGGUUAAUACGUGAAUGGGAGACCGCCUGGGAAUACCAAGUGCUGUAAGCU